GCCAAAGAGAGAGAGAGAGGGAGUUUGAGAAUCCAGGCAGAAAUGUCACGCAAUAUUUAAACUCACAUAUCUAAGCAAUCACGACUAUAAACACCUCUACUUUGAAUCGGACGCUGCUACCGUCAAUGAAAUUGUGCUCAAGGUUAACUACAUCCUGGAAUCGCGAGCUAGCACUGCCCGGGCUGACUACUUUGCUCAAAAACAAAGAAAACUGAACAGACGUACGAGCUUCAGCUUCCAGAAGGAGAAGAAAUCCGGGCAGCAGUGACAAUGGCCUCCAGCCUCAAUCUGUUCCGUAGCUCAGAGCCUGCCUGCCAGGGCCAAGUGCCCUAGAGCCCACCCGGUGUCCUGAAGUCCUCGGGGGGAGGCCAGCCCCUGGCUCACUGGCACAGGGCAGGUGGGCUCUCGGGGAAGGUGUCGGGGGCCCCUUGGAGGGAGCACUGGGGA
rnacentral:sRNA from 1 species